rnacentral:rRNA from 1 species
CAGUAGCCACGGGAAUACGUAGGUGGCAAGCGUUGUCCGGAAUUAUUGGGCGUAAAGAGCUCGCUGGCGGUUUCUUAAGUCUGGUGUGAAAGCCCCCGGCUCAACCGGGGAGGGUCAUUGGAAACUGGGAAACUUGAGUGCAGAAGAGGAGAGUGGAAUUCCACGUGUAGCGGUGAAAUGCGUAGAGAUGUGGAGGAACACCAGUGGCGAAGGCAGCUCUCUGGUCUGUAACUGACGCUGAGGAGCGAAAGCGUGGGGAGCGAACAGGAUUAGAUACCCCAGUAGUCCCUGUCUCUUAUAC